UACACAGCUGAAGCUCAUGUCCCAUAAAGAACGCUCUCCUAAUGUUUUGUCCGUCUGUUUGUUUAUGUGUAGAGAAUGGUAAUGUUUCAAAGGACAACUGCACAUUCAUGAAGCUGAAUCCUCUUCAGCUCAUCGCAACAUCUGACUGCAAUCAGACACGAGGCGUCCUCUGCACACAUAGUAAGCAACAACAGCUUCCUAAUCGCUGAUUAACUCUGUCCCUUCUCCACGUUUUCCUUUCUUCAUUUUAAUCCUCUCCUCUCUUGCAAAUGAUUAAAACUAUAACUGAAGUGUAUUGCAGUUUUCUUUCACUUUAUAAGCCACACACUGUUCGUUAAAAGUGUAAUUCUUCUUUUAAAGAUGCCUGGUCCUCAUCAAGCACAAUGGUAAGAGAGACAUUUCUCUUCUGUCAGUAUGAAGACAUAUAAAGAGCCGGUCUGCAUUUUCAUAUGUUGGUUUUGUUCGUGUUUCUUUUGCAGAAGAAAAUAGUGUCCAGUCAUGCAACCAGAUCUCGGAGCAGAAGGGAUGUAGUUGCCAUGGCUUCCUCUGUUGCUAACAUUCAGAGUCUUCUCCAGGAAGCAGAUACAGAACUGCUGCGAAUGGAAAUGACACCAGGGGAGCCAACAGAUGACAACAGGGACAAAUUCAUUAAACAUUUGUUGGCGGGCACUACACAAUUAGAUAAAGAAUUUGCUCUGCAAAGCCCUAAAACAAUUAGUCACAUCAUCAACUGCAGCACCGCCAUCCUCCUCCUCUCACAGAAGAAAUGUGACAUCGCCACCAACCCAAACCCUACGUCUUUGUUUGAGAAUGUCUAUGAGAUCUUUCGAGAAAUCUCUGUGCUGCUUGGUUCGUUAACAACAGAGCCAAUUAUUUUCAAGCAUCGGACAGGCACAGUCUAUCAGAACAGGUUUGAUAUUAUCUUUUAUGGCUCAACUUUCUUUUUUAACCACAUGAUAAUGGCAUUAAGUGUGUUAUAAGGUGUUGUAGAUCAUAUUCCAAA
rnacentral:lncRNA from 1 species